rnacentral:tRNA from 1 species
AAGAUACUAGUAAAACUAAAGAUUACACUGCCUUGUCAAGGCAGAGUUGUGGGUUAAACCCCCGCGUAUCUUA